rnacentral:rRNA from 1 species
UACGUAGGGCGCAAGCGUUGUCCGGAAUUAUUGGGCGUAAAGAGCUCGUAGGCGGCUUGUCACGUCGGGUGUGAAAGCCCGGGGCUUAACCCCGGGUCUGCAUUCGAUACGGGCUGGCUAGAGUGUGGUAGGGGAGAUCGGAAUUCCUGGUGUAGCGGUGAAAUGCGCAGAUAUCAGGAGGAACACCGGUGGCGAAGGCGGAUCUCUGGGCCUUACCUGACGCUCAGGUGCGAAAGCUAGGGGAGCGAACAGG